rnacentral:rRNA from 1 species
AUUGAACGCUGGCGGCAGGCCUAACACAUGCAAGUCGAGCGGUGAAGGGAGCUUGCUCCUGGAUUCAGCGGCGGACGGGUGAGUAAUGCCUAGGAAUCUGCCUGGUAGUGGGGGAUAACGUCCGGAAACGGGCGCUAAUACCGCAUACGUCCUGAGGGAGAAAGUGGGGGAUCUUCGGACCUCACGCUAUCAGAUGAGCCUAGGUCGGAUUAGCUAGUUGGUGGGGUAAAGGCCUACCAAGGCGACGAUCCGUAACUGGUCUGAGAGGAUGAUCAGUCACACUGGAACUGAGACACGGUCCAGACUCCUACGGGAGGCAGCAGUGGGGAAUAUUGGACAAUGGGCGAAAGCCUGAUCCAGCCAUGCCGCGUGUGUGAAGAAGGUCUUCGGAUUGUAAAGCACUUUAAGUUGGGAGGAAGGGCAGUAAGUUAAUACCUUGCUGUUUUGACGUUACCAACAGAAUAAGCACCGGCUAACUUCGUG